GCGAGGCGGACGAUGCAAAGCUGAUACGNGACCGUCGUUCCGAAGCCUUAACGUGGGUUCGCACAGCUGCGUCGAGGCCGGCUCGUCAGGACGGGGUCUCUGGUUGCGGCCAUCGCGUCGAUCGGCGCUUCUUCCACGAGUUGCGCGGUUAUGUGUCAUGGCAACCUCCUUUCAGCUUUACAAGAAGAGUACAUUUCCUCCACUUCUGGACUGUUACCUCCCAGCUAUUUCCAGAAAUCAGAAUGAUUCAACCCAGCAAAGGAUUAACACAGAUAUUAAAGAGAGAUUGUGCAGCAAAACGCAAGAUUUAAGUGAAGAAGAUAAAGAUGAACUCAUUAGGCAAGCUAUCCAAGAACAGCAGCAUCUUGAAACCUACAGGAAUAUGUAUAAACUGAGAAAUAUCUUGUGUGAACAGUACAGUACUUUGUUGAAUGAGAAGGUUAAAAAACAACGGAUUCAGAUCAAGAUGUCUGACCUCAAAUUUGAACAACAUCUUAAACACAAAGCAAAAAAGAAGCAGAUCUCCAGACAUAAAGUACCUUUCUCCAAAUUGUCUCAUGAUACAAAGUACCUAGACUCCAUUCCACAGUCAAGUGUAUACCUGAUUGUUGGAUUGCAGAAUGAAUUAACUAAGCUUGGAAUCUUUAAAAAACAGCAAGAUUAUGAAGACUUUUGGAAAUUCAUGCAAGAAGGCAUUCAUGGUUCAAAACUUCAAGAAAAACUUCCAGAUAUUAAAGCAAAAUGUUGAGUAUCUUGACGUUACUUUUGAAUAUAGUUGGAAAGGAUAAUAUGCUUCCACUCAUAAUAGGAUGUUCAAUCAAAUCAGUGUGAUAUACACACAUGCAUUGAUUUUCUCUGAAGACAUUUCCUUCUGGUAAUUUUCUUAGCUAAGAUUCCAUAUCCAUAUCUAAAAAAUAGAACCCUUGAUCAUCAGCUGAAGGGAGCUGAAGAAAAGUGAAACAAAG
rnacentral:lncRNA from 1 species